rnacentral:rRNA from 1 species
AACGCGAAGAACCUUACCAGGUCUUGACAUCCCACUGAAAGAGAGGGUAAUGCCUCUCCCUCCUUCGGGACAGUGGUGACAGGUGGUGCAUGGUUGUCGUCAGCUCGUGUCGUGAGAUGUUGGGUCAAGUCCCGCAACGAGCGCAACCCCUGCUCUUAGUAGCCAGCAUUUUUAGAUGGGCACUCUAAGAGGACUGUUAGGGAUAACCUAAAGGAAGAUGGGGAUGACGUCAAAUCAUCAUGCCCCUUAUGAUCUGGGCUACACACGUGCUACAAUGGCGUGGAACAAAGGGAAGCGAAGUCGUGAGGCCAAGCAAAUCUCAAAAAACACGUCUCAGUUCGGACUGCAGUCUGCAACCCGACUACACGAAGCUGGAAUCGCUAGUAAUCGCGGAUCAGAAUGCCGCGGUGAAUACGUUCCCGGGUCUUGUACACACCGCCCGU